UACAGGGGUCUCGAGCGUUAAUCGGAAUCACUGGGCUUAAAGGGUGCGUAGGCGGACUCGUAAGCGCUUUGUGAAAUCCCCCGGCUCAACCGGGGAACUGCAGGGCGAACUGCGAGUCUUGAGGAAACUAGAGGCCGGUAGAACGAUUGGUGGAGCGGUGGAAUGCGUAGAUAUCAAUCGGAAUGCCAAAAGUGAAGACAGCCGGCUGGGGUUUUCCUGACGCUGAGGCACGAAAGCGUGGGGAGCAAACCGG
rnacentral:rRNA from 1 species